rnacentral:rRNA from 1 species
GACGUAGGGCGCGAGCGUUGUCCGGAUUUAUUGGGCGUAAAGAGCUCGUAGGCGGCUUGUCGCGUCGACUGUGAAAACCCGCGGCUCAACCGUGUGGUCUGCAGUCGAUACGGGCAGGCUAGAGUUCGGUAGGGGAGACUGGAAUUCCCGGUGUAGCGGUGAAAUGCGCAGAUAUCGGGAAGAACACCCGUGGCGAAGGCGGCUCUCUGGGACGGUACUGACGCUGAGGAGCGAAAGCAUGGGGAGCGAACAGG